rnacentral:rRNA from 1 species
CCCUUAGACGUUCUGGGCCGCACGCGCGCUACACUGACCGGUGCAACAAGCAUCCGUCCUUGGCCGACAGGCCCGGGCAAUCUUUGAACGCCGGUCGUGAUGGGGAUAGACUUUUGCAAUUUUUGGUCUUCAACGAGGAAUUCCUAGUAAACGCAAGUCAUCAACUUGCAUUGAUUACGUCCCUGCCCUUUGUACACACCGCCCGUCGCACCUACCGAUUGAAUGGUCCGGUGAAGCCUCCGGAUUGGCGCGCACCUCGGUGCCGCCGAGAAGUUGGCUAAACCUUACCAUUUAGAGGAAGGUGAANUCGUANCA